rnacentral:rRNA from 1 species
UACGUAGGGACCGAGCGUUGUCCGGAAUCAUUGGGCGUAAAGCGCGUGUAGGCGGUUCGGUAAGUCCGCUGUGAAAGUCGGGGGCUCAACCCUCGGAUGCCGGUGGAUACUGUCGAGCUUGAGUACGGAAGAGGCGAGUGGAAUUCCUGGUGUAGCGGUGAAAUGCGCAGAUAUCAGGAGGAACACCAAUUGCGAAGGCAGCUCGCUGGGACGUUACUGACGCUGAGACGCGAAAGCGUUGGGGAGCAAACAGG